rnacentral:rRNA from 1 species
UGCAGUCGAGCGCAGUCCUUCGGGACCGAGCGGCGGACGGGUUAGUAACGCGUGGGAAUAUACCCAGAUCUAAGGAAUAGCCUCGGGAAACUGAGAGUAAUACCUUAUACGCCCUUCGGGGGAAAGAUUUAUCGGAUUUGGAUUAGCCCGCGUUAGAUUAGAUAGUUGGUGGGGUAAUGGCCUACCAAGUCUACGAUCUAUAGCUGGUUUUAGAGGAUGAUCAGCAACACUGGGACUGAGACACGGCCCAGACUCCUACGGGAGGCAGCAGUGGGGAAUCUUAGACAAUGGGCGAAAGCCUGAUCUAGCCAUGCCGCGUGUGUGAUGAAGGCCCUAGGGUCGUAAAGCACUUUCGCCAGAGAUGAUAAUGACAGUAUCUGGUAAAGAAACCCCGGCUAACUCCGUGCCAGCAGCCGCGGUAAUACGGAGGGGGUUAGCGUUGUUCGGAAUUACUGGGCGUAAAGCGUACGUAGGCGGAUUAGUAAGUUAGGGGUGAAAUCCCGAGGCUCAACCUCGGAACUGCCUCUAAAACUGCUAGUCUUGAGUUCGAGAGAGGUGAGUGGAAUUCCGAGUGUAGAGGUGAAAUUCGUAGAUAUUCGGAGGAACACCAGUGGCGAAGGCGGCU